UACGUAGGGUGCGAGCGUUAAUCGGAAUUACUGGGCGUAAAGCGUGCGCAGGCGGUUUUGCAAGCCGGAUGUGAAAUCCCCGGGCUCAACCUGGGAAUGGCAUUCGGGACUGCAAGGCUGGAGUGCGGCAGAGGAGACUGGAAUUCCUGGUGUAGCAGUGAAAUGCGUAGAUAUCAGGAGGAAUACCGAUGGCGAAGGCAGGUCUCUGGGCUGACACUGACGCUCAUGCACGAAAGCGUGGGGAGCAAACAGA
rnacentral:rRNA from 1 species